rnacentral:rRNA from 1 species
CGAAUUCGCCCUUCCUACGGGAGGCAGCAGUGGGGAAUAUUGCGCAAUGGGCGGAAGCCUGACGCAGCGACGCCGCGUGGGGGAUGACGGCCUUCGGGUUGUAAACCUCUUUCGACCUUGACGAAGCCUUUUGGGGUGACGGUAGGGGUAGAAGAAGCACCGGCCAACUACGUGCCAGCAGCCGCGGUAAUACGUAGGGUGCGAGCGUUGUCCGGAAUUAUUGGGCGUAAAGAGCUCGUAGGCGGUCUGUCGCGUCGGUCGUGAAAACUUGGGGCUUAACCCUGAGCUUGCGGUCGAUACGGGCAUGACUGGAGUUCGGCAGGGGAGACUGGAAUUCCUGGUGUAGCGGUGAAAUGCGCAGAUAUCAGGAGGAACACCGGUGGCGAAGGCGGGUCUCUGGGCCGAUACUGACGCUGAGGAGCGAAAGCGUG